UCGAGCGGUAGCACANAGAGCUUGCUCUCGGGUGACGAGCGGCGGACGGGUGAGUAAUGUCUGGGAAACUGCCUGAUGGAGGGGGAUAACUACUGGAAACGGUAGCUAAUACCGCAUAACGUCGCAAGACCAAAGUGGGGGACCUUCGGGCCUCAUGCCAUCAAAUGUGCCCAGAUAGGAUUAGCUGGUAUGUGGGGUAACGGCUCACCUACGCGACGAUCCCUAACUGGUCUGAGAGGAUGACCAGCCACACUGGAACUNAUACACGGUCCAU
rnacentral:rRNA from 1 species